UGGGGAAUUUUCCGCAAUGGGCGCAAGCCUGACGGAGCAAGACCGCGUGCGGGAGGACGGCCUAUUGGUUGUAAACCGCUUUUGAUAGGGAAGAAGCUCUGACGGUACCUAUCGAAUCAGCAUCGGCUAACUCCGUGCCAGCAGCCGCGGUAAUACGGAGGAUACAAGCGUUAUCCGGAAUUAUUGGGCGUAAAGCGUCCGUAGGUGGUUGUUCAAGUCUGCUGUUAAAGCGUGCGGCUUAACCGCAUA
rnacentral:rRNA from 1 species